rnacentral:rRNA from 1 species
AACGAACGCUGGCGGCAGGCCUAACACAUGCAAGUCGAGCGGACCUUUCGGGGUCAGCGGCGGACGGGUGAGUAACGCGUGGGAAUAUGCCCUUCUCUACGGAAUAGUCCUGGGAAACUGGGGGUAAUACCGUAUACGCCCUUUGGGGGAAAGAUUUAUCCGGGAAGGAUUAGCCCGCGUUGGAUUAGGUAGUUGGUGGGGUAAUGGCCUACCAAGCCGACGAUCCAUAGCUGGUUUGAGAGGAUGAUCAGCCACACUGGGACUGAGACACGGCCCAGACUCCUACGGGAGGCAGCAGUGGGGAAUCUUAGACAAUGGGGGCAACCCUGAUCUAGCCAUGCCGCGUGAGUGAUGAAGGCCUUAGGGUUGUAAAGCUCUUUCAGCUGGGAAGAUAAUGACGGUACCAGCAGAAGAAGCCCCGGCUAACUCCGUG